GAGCCAGCACCGGCGGGGGCGGGCCUGGCCGGGUCGGGCUUGGCCCGGCCGGGGAAAUUCCCGGAAGGCCGAAGUCCCGCCGGGCCGGGCGCGGAAGUUGCAGGCGGCCGUGCGCCCACCCGGCAGGCCCGCAACCAUGUCGUCCGGGGACGAGGGUUCGCGAGGCCGGGAGAGGGACGAGGGCGCCGCGGCCACGCUCUGCGGCCUGUACCACGAGGCCGGCCAGCAGCUGCGGCUGCUUCAGGCCCAGCUGGCCGCCCGCGAGGCCCUCGUCGCACGCCUCCGCGCCCGCCUGGCCGCGCUCGAGGGAGAUGCGGCGCCGUCGCUCGUGGACGCGCUGCUGGAGCAGCUGGCGCGCUCCCGGGAGCAGCUCCAGCGGCAGCAGAGCGGCGCCGCCGAGGCCCGACUGCGCCAGGAGGUCGAGCGACUGACCGAGCAACUGGAGGAAAAGCAGAGGGAGAUAGAGCGGCUGAGCCGGCCGGCGCACGAGCAGGAGGUCGUGCUGCUGCGGAGAAGCGUGGCUGAGAAGGAGCGCGCCCAGGCGGCCAGGGACGUGCUGUGCCGCUCCCUGGCCGACGAGGCCCAGCGGCUGCGGAGGACCCUGGCUGCCACUGCCCACAUGUGCCAGCACCUGGCCAAGCGUCUGGCUGCACAGCAGCGUGCCCAGGGGGACGUGGGGCAUGUGCAGGAGCAGAGUCCUGGCGAGCCCACGUGUCCAGGCACGGACAGCUCUGUUCAGGCCGCCAUGGAGAAGUUACGGGAGGAGAACCGACUGUUAAAACAGAAAGUGACUCAUGUGGAAGACCUCAACGCCAAGUGGCAGCGCUACGACGCCAGCAGGGACGAGUAUGUGCGGGAGCUCCAGGCGCAGCUGCGGGAGCUGAAGGCCCCCCGGGAGCCGGAGCUGCUGAGGAAGGAGGUUUCCCGGCUCAACAGGCAGCUGGAAGAGGAAGUAGACGCGUGUGCGGACGCGAGGCAGCAGCUGGCCGCCGCCAGGACCGCCCAGGACGCUGCCCUGGAGCGGGUGCAGAUACUGGAGCAGCAGAUUCUCGCCUACAAGGAUGACUUCAGGUCAGAAAGGGCCGACAGGGAGCGGGCUCAGAGCAGGAUCCAGGAGCUGGAGGAGCGGCUGGCUUCCCUGCUGUGCCAGGGGUCUCGCCAGGGGUCUCGGAGACAGCGUUGUUGAGGGGGCCGGCGUGGGUUAGCGGUAAAGCCGCCACCUGCACCAAGCCGGCUCCCGUGUGGACGCUGGUUCAAGUCCCGGCUGCUCCGCCUCUGAUCCAGCUCCUUGCUGAUGCAUCUGGGGGAGCAACAGAAGAUGGCCCGAGUCCUCGGGCUCCUGCAUCCCAGCCGGAGCUGGCACCGCAGGAGCAGGCUUGACCUGCGACACCACAGCACUGGCCCCUCAAAGCUCUCUGCUGUGGCCUGGGAAGGCAGCAGAGAAUGGCUGAAUUCCAUGGGCCCUGCACCCGCGUGGGAGACCUGGAAGAAGCUCCUGGUUCCUGGCUUCAGAUCGGCACAGCUCAGCCACUGCGGCCAAUUGGGGAGUGACUCAGCGGAUGGAAGACCUCUCUCUCUGUCUCUGUCUCUAACUCUGACCUUCAAAUAAAUAAAUAAAUCUUUUAUUAAAAAAAAAUAGGAACGGCAUUACAGGGCUUGGUACCGUUUGUGGUUUUAGGUUCCCACUGGGGGUUUUUGAGUGGAUUCCUGUGGGGAAGGGAAAAUGAGUGAGUUCAGCGGUUGGGGAGGCCCCCUUGCUGGGUCGAGAGAGAGAGACAGAGAGGAGAGAGAGAGAGAGACAGAGAGGAGAGAGAGAGAGAGACAGAGAGGAGAGAGAGAGAGAGGGGAGAGGGGAGAGUGAAAGGAGAGAGAGACAGGAGAGAGAGAUGAGAGAGGGAGACAGGAGAGAGAGAGGGGAGAGGAGAGGGAGAGACAGGAGAGAGAGGAGGAGAGAGAGAAAGGAGAGAGACAGAGGAGAGAGUUAGGGAGAGGGAGGAGAGAGACGGGGAGAGAGAGAGAGGAGAGAGGGGAGGGAGGAGAGACAGAGAUUGAAACCCUCGGUCUGCCCCAGCAGCCCGGGCUGGACGUUACCUGGGUCCCCCUGUGGGUGGAGGCACCCAGGCACUGAGUCAUCGCUGUGCCUCCCGGUGCGGCCCGGUACGGUGGUGAAGCGGGACCCCUGCCAGGUUGAUCCAGGUUCCGGGGUAGGAAAUGCAUUCAAAGCAGGAUUUGUCUAGGAGGUGGCGGGGAGCCCAGGCAACCCCCAGGAGGGCGCCCCCUUUAUCAGGUAGGGGAGCAUGGCAGUGGGGGCGGGGUCCGUUCAGGGGCAGCUCUGGCUUUGGCCUGGCCCAGCCCCGUCACUCCUGUCACUCCGAGAGCGACCCAGCGGGUGGGAGUCCCUUUCUCUCUGUCUUCACCCCCCUCCUUGUAACUGCCUUUUUUAAAGGUGCUCACGUCCCCCAGGGGGACCUGGGUUUGUCUCCUGCCAAUGCGGUCGCUGGGAGGCGAUGGUCGCGGCUCAGGGAUCCCCGUGCCCACACGGGGGACCGGGCUUGUCCCGGCUCCCGGCCAGCCCAGCCCUCGCAGGCCCCGGGCGGGGAGACCCAGCAGACGGGCACACGAGAAGCCGACCGUGAACAGCCACGGUCCACACCCGACAAACACCGACCUCAUACACUGAUAAAAACCGUAAGAUGAGCGGUGUUCUGGGCGUGUGAAGACGGCGGGGUUGUGGCCAGCGCCACGGCCGCACAGGGAGCCGAUGCCGGCGUGGUCCUUGGGGCGGGAGCAGUCGGGGCCCAUCCACAGGAGUGGAGUCUGGGUGCGGGCGGGGGCCAGAGCCGUGAAGCUGUCUCCACAGACCCCCACGCCAGAGGACGCGCCAGGACCAGCAAGCACACUGCAAAAAUGACGUCAAUCAAGAGGCGGACACCUAGUGGAGCUCUCUAAAUGCCCAGGGGGCCGGAGCCGGGGCCCAGAACGCAAUCUGUGCCUCCCAUGUGGGCAGCAGGGGGCCGGGGCCGGAGCCGGGGGUCGGAAGUGGUGAGAUGUGGGCGUCCUGGCCGGCAGGCGAGCUGGACCAAGUGCCUGCCCCUGAAGUUUUUUUUUUUUUUUUAAAGAUUUAUUUAUUUGGAAGGCAGAGUGACAGAGGAAGAGACAGAGUAUCUUAGCUCUGCUGGCCCAGUGCGAGGCCAGGAGCCGCACCAGGGCCCCGGGAGGCGGCAGGAGCACACGCACGCUGCAGGGAGCAGUGGUGCCCUGGGCAGCCGCUCAGCCCGCCGUGCUCAGGGCCACCCCGAGAUGAAUUCCGGUCAGAUCAGAGGUGCCUGCACUUCUCUGGCAGUCCCGGCAUCCUGUGCGGAGACCUGCCAAUGCGGUCUCCCAGCCACAGAGGGAGGGCGCGCCCGUCUGCGGGCUCAAGCCAGGGACUCCAUCGGGUCUCCCACGGAGGGUGGCAGGGACUCAAGGCCCCCAGCCGCUGCCGUGUGCCCUCCCAGGCACACUAGGAGCUGGCGCAGGACUGGGGGGCCUGGACUAGAGCUGGCACCCAUGCGGGAGUGGGCAGUCCAAGCAGCGUCCGGACCUGCCGUGUGCCCAGCGGUGUGGUUUCUUUUCUGGUACCGCAAGUUCGCAUUUUCGGUGGCGUGAGGAUGUGCAUACAGAUGAAUAAAAAGUUCCCGACUGCUGGUGAGGGGCCGUCUCCAGUGUGACUGCCGCCGCUGGCCUCCCCAGGGCAGCACCUGGAAACCGAGGGGGUCCCAGGGCGUCCCCGUGUGUGGGUGAACGGCCAGAGCCAGGCCCUGCAGCUCCAGGUCCCUGGGAGCCCGCGCCAGCGAGGUCCUGUGCCACCUGGGCCUGGCUCCAUCUGGUUUCUGUCCCCGAGGACAUGGGCUCUGGAGCCCAGAGCCAGAGAAACAUGAGGCUAUGUCUUCCAGAGCGAGCGGCGCCAUGGUGGGGGGAGCAGAGGCCAGUGUCCGGCCCCCAGGGCGCCAGGGUAGGGGAGCAAAGGCCCAGUGUCCAGCCCCCAGGGCUCCCUGGCACAGCGCAGCUGGGACACUGGCGUGACUGUGGCCCCGUGGGCCAGGACGGGAGGGGCCUGCAGCGGGGGCCCUGCCCCUCUCGAAGGCACUGCGCCUGCGUGGUCCCGGCCCAGCCCGUGUCUCCCUUUGCCGUUUCUUCUUCCCAUCUGGAAAAAACAAAACGAACAGGGACAGUCCUGGUCCCCCGUCUCGGGCGGCUGACCCAUCUGCCGUCCCCGGCUUGGCCUCCUCCUCGUUCUCCGCACCCUGUGACUGCGGCGGCCCUGCCCCAUGAGCUGUCCAGCAGCCCCCACGCCCGCCCUGCACGGAAGCAGGUUCACCGAGAGGCGGGACAGCGGGAGCUACAGAGUUCUAGGAGGUAAGUGGGAACCGGGCUGUGGCCAGGAAGCAGCCCUGAGCGUCUACAACCCCCCAGACCUCCCUGUAAAGGCUGUUCACUUCGUUCCUAUUUCCAAUCUAGUAUUUGUAAUUCACUAUUUUAUAAAUCACAGCUCCCUCCAGCCCCACACCCCACGUGGCUGGGCACCCCUGACAAGGCCCCGGCGGCCCUACCCUGCGGGGCCUCUGCAGAUCCUAACGCAACGUCCCCUCAUCCCCAAGGCACUC